AUGUUCAAGAGGUUUUUACCAUGAGCCGCACUAUCCGCAGAGGUCUCUUCUCCAAAACAUACAACCACGUUGAUUUAAACAGUUUCUAUGAGCAUCGCAACCUAGCAGCACUUGUUCCAGUGGGAGGAAAGACCAAGCUGAUCUACAUGACCUCACGCCUGACCUGAAACCAAAAUACGUCACAGUCUAGAGGUCUGCCAUAAGACUCCACAUGGCACUGCGUUUUGCUGGCAUGCUGUUUUGAAUUUCUCCUCACCUCAGCACAAACUAUAAACUUGCAUUCGUA